rnacentral:rRNA from 1 species
GUCGAACGAUUAAACUUUCCUUCGGGGAAGAUAUAAAGUGGCGCACGGGUGAGUAACACGUAGGUAAUCUACCUUUGAGUGGGGAACAACUUAGGGAAACUUAAGCUAAUACCGCAUAAUGCAGAGAUGUCGAUGACAUUUUUGUUAAAGCGAGCAAUCGCGCUUAAAGAGGAGCCUGCGGCAGAUUAGCUAGUUGGUAAGGUAACGGCUUACCAAGGCGACGAUCUGUAACCGACCUGAGAGGGUGGUCGGUCACACUGACACUGAAUAACGGGUCAGACUCCUACGGGAGGCAGCAGUCGGGAAUUUUGGGCAAUGGGCGAAAGCCUGACCCAGCAACGCCGCGUGAAGGAUGAAGUCUUUCGGGAUGUAAACUUCGUAAGAAUGGGAAGAAUAAAUGACGGUACCAUUUGUAAGGUCCGGCUAACUACGUGCCAGCAGCCGCGGUAAUACGUAGGGACCAAGCGUUGUUCGGAUUUACUGGGCGUAAAGGGCGCGUAGGCGGCGUGACAAGUCAGUUGUGAAAUCUCCGAGCUUAACUCGGAACGGUCAACUGAUACUGUUGUGCUAGAGUACAGAAGGGGCAAUCGGAAUUCUUGGUGUAGCGGUGAAAUGCGUAGAUAUCAAGAGGAACACCUGAGGUGAAGACAGGUUGCUGGGCUGAUACUGACGCUGAGGCGCGAAAGCUAGGGUAGCAAACGGGAUUAGAUACCCCGGUAGUCCUAGCCCUAAACGAUGAAUACU